rnacentral:rRNA from 1 species
CACGCCGUAAACGAUGGAUACUAGCUGUUGGAGGUAUCGACCCCUUCAGUAGCGAAGCUAACGCGUUAAGUAUCCCGCCUGUGGAAUACGGUCGCAAGACUAAAACAUAAAGGAAUUGACGGGGACCCGCACAAGCGGUGGAGCGUGUUCUUUAAUUCGACGAUAAACGAAGAACCUUACCAGGGUUUGACAUCCUUGUAAUCUCUGCGAAAGUAGAGAGUGCUUUAUUGAAACAAGUGACAGGUGA